rnacentral:rRNA from 1 species
GACGAACGCUGGCGGCGUGCUUAACACAUGCAAGUCGAACGGAAAGGCCCUGCUUGCCGGGUACUCGAGUGGCGAACGGGUGAGUAACACGUGGGUGAUCUGCCCUGCACUUCGGGAUAAGCCUGGGAAACUGGGUCUAAUACCGGAUAGGAGCCAUUUUUAGUGUGAUGGUUGGAAAGUUUUUUCGGUGUAGGAUGAGCUCGCGGCCUAUCAGCUUGUUGGUGGGGUAAUGGCCUACCAAGGCGGCGACGGGUAGCCGGCCUGAGAGGGUGGACGGCCACAUUGAGACUGAGAUACGGCCCAGACUCCUACGGGAGGCAGAAGUGGGGAAUAUUGCACAAUGGGCGCAAGCCUGAUGCAGCGACGCCGCGGGGGGGAUGACGGCCUUCGGGUUGUAAACUCCUUUCGCUAGGGACGAAGCUUUUUGUGACGGUACCUAGAUAAGAAGCACCGGCUAACUACGUG